CACUCGAUUUUUCGCCUCUCGAAGUUCUUCGCAAACUAAGUCGACGAAUCAAUACCGUUUGGCGUCGGCUUACAAAAUUGAUUUGGCUUGGUGGGUAAUGAUGUCGGAAAUGGUAGGCUAUCAAACAAAAUAGAAAUGGUUAAGUGUGGCUAUAUAGAUAUGGUCCUUCGGGCAACAAGCAAUGCUUUUACAAACCCAAAAUGAAUUUCAAUCACUCUUUUUUUUUUCAAUUUCGAUUUUUUUUUCUUCUUUUUUUUAAUUUCGAAUUUUUUUUUCUU
rnacentral:lncRNA from 1 species